UACUUAGUGGCGGACGGGUGGGUAACGCGUGGGUAACCUGCCUUACACUGGGGGAUAACACUUAGAAAUAGGUGCUAAUACCGCAUAAGCGCACGAAGCCGCAUGGAUUUGUGUGAAAAACUCCGGUGGUGUAAGAUGGACCCGCGUCUGAUUAGCUUGUUGGCGGGGUAACGGCCUACCAAGGCGACGAUCAGUAGCCGGCCUGAGAGGGUGGACGGCCACAUUGGGACUGAGACACGGCCCAAACUCCUACGGGAGGCAGCAG
rnacentral:rRNA from 1 species